rnacentral:snoRNA from 1 species
UCCUAUCCUGACCAUGCUCAUUUCUUGAAUAUAUGGUUGGCUCAUAUUUCCUGAGUUCAGGAAGCCCUUAUUAUGCACUUACUGCGUUCCAUGUGACCAAGUCGGAUGCUGAGGA